CUUCUCCAUACCAUUAUGCAUUUGACACUAACCAAAAUCAUUCAAUUCUCUACAUUAUAGGUCAACUUGGACAGAAUAUAAACACUUCAAAAUACACCAAAUGCAGUCACAAUUCACAACGUUCAAUCCCAACAAUAUAUACACUUAAAUACUUUUAAUUAUCACACAUACUUCCAUCAUCAAACUACAUACGUAUCACUACUAUUCCACACACAUAGGCUGCCAUUUUUUUGUACAAUACUUCAA
rnacentral:misc_RNA from 1 species